UGGAUUGAGUUUGCAUAGGAAUCUAAAAAAGAAGACAUGCUCGCCAUAAACAUAAGUUACAAGUAGCACGCGAUGACCAGACCACAGGCAACUUGAAACGGCUCGAAGAGUUGUCGAGACGUGUCGGCCAAUCUACAUUUCCGGUGAGCAUCAUAUGACCGGAAGUGAAGAAAAUUACCCAAUAAAAAGCGCGAUGGAUUGUGGUUAGCAAAGUAACUCGUAAUAAGGAAAUGAUUUCAACAUUCCUUUGAUAUUUAACAAUGGCUGUUAUUGUAGAAGAUUGAUAAACAAAAGAAUUAAUCUAGUUUAUAUCAGGGUAUGAAAAGAAAACAAAAUUAAAGACAUUUAAAAAUUCGCUUGACGAGUACUGUAGUACUGGGAAUGGAAUCAGUACAAAUAGGGUCAUUAUCAAUGCGCAACAACUAAAGACAGGCCUCACUGAUGAUGGUGUACAGAGAAACAAGGUUUCGACGGGAAAGUAAGGGCAGGAGAGGAAACAAUGUGGCAGAUGUACAUAGGCAUAAUAAGGACAUAGAGUGACAUACCUGAGGUUAUAUCAGGAGCUGAGAGUCGUGUUUGCAUAUGGUUCCUCUUCUCUGUGCAAUCAGAAGAGCUACGUUGGACAUACUCGGGCUGGCAACGUACCAAAAAAAGAACAUACUUCAUUAGAAUUGUAUGAAAACCGCAAAAACCACAGGCAAAAGUAACCAAUACCAACGAUGCAAAAAAAAAWAAAUAA